AUGUACUUCUGUACCACCUUGAGCACACCUGAUCUUAUGUGAUUUUGGAAGCUGAACAGGGUCAGGCCCGGUUACCGUAUUUGCCGGUGUACAAG
rnacentral:rRNA from 1 species